UACGUAGGGUGCAAGCGUUGUCCGGCAUUAUUGGGCGUAAAGAGCUCGUAGGCGGUUUGUUGCGUCGGCUGUGAAAUCCCGAGGCUCAACCUCGGGUCUGCAGUCGAUACGAGCAAACUAGAGUGUUGCAGGGGAGACUGGAAUUCCUGGUGUAGCGGUGAAAUGCGCAGAUAUCAGGAGGAACACCGGUGGCGAAGGCGGGUCUCUGGGCAACAACUGACGCUGAGGAGCGAAAGCGUGGGGAGCGAACAGG
rnacentral:rRNA from 1 species